GGAGGGGGUGCUAUACAUGCAAGUCGAGCGAAUGGAUUAAGAGCUUGCUCUUAUGAAGUUAGCGGCGGACGGGUGAGUAACACGUGGGUAACCUGCCCAUAAGACUGGGAUAACUCCGGGAAACCGGGGCUAAUACCGGAUAACAUUUUGAACCGCAUGGUUCGAAAUUGAAAGGCGGCUUCGGCUGUCACUUAUGGAUGGACCCGCGUCGCAUUAGCUAGUUGGUGAGGUAACGGCUCACCAAGGCAACGAUGCGUAGCCGACCUGAGAGGGUGAUCGGCCACACUGGGACUGAGACACGGCCCAGACUCCUACGGGAGGCAGCAGUAGGGAAUCUUCCGCAAUGGACGAAAGUCUGACGGAGCAACGCCGCGUGAGUGAUGAAGGCUUUCGGGUCGUAAAACUCUGUUGUUAGGGAAGAACAAGUGCUAGUUGAAUAAGCUGGCACCUUGACGGUACCUAACCAGAAAGCCACGGCUAACUACGUGCCAGCAGCCGCGGUAAUACGUAGGUGGCAAGCGUUAUCCGGAAUUAUUGGGCGUAAAGCGCGCGCAGGUGGUUUCUUAAGUCUGAUGUGAAAGCCCACGGCUCAACCGUGGAGGGUCAUUGGAAACUGGGAGACUUGAGUGCAGAAGAGGAAAGUGGAAUUCCAUGUGUAGCGGUGAAAUGCGUAGAGAUAUGGAGGAACACCAGUGGCGAAGGCGACUUUCUGGUCUGUAACUGACACUGAGGCGCGAAAGCUGCCCUCC
rnacentral:rRNA from 1 species